rnacentral:tRNA from 1 species
GUCGGGAUAGCUCAGCUAGUAGAG